GUAGCAGAUAGCUCAGUAACACGUGGCCAAACUACCCUAUGGAUCCAAAUAACCUCGGGAAACUGAGGCUAAUGUGGAAUAGCGUUCAUCGCCUGGAGUGGCACGAACGCGAAACGUUACGGCGCCAUAGGAUGUGGCUGCGGCCGAUUAGGUAGACGGUGGGGUAACGGCCCACCGUGCCCAUAAUCGGUACGGGUUGUGAGAGCAAGAGCCCGGAGACGGUAUCUGAGACAAGAUACCGGGCCCUACGGGGCGCAGCAGGCGCGAAACCUUUACACUGCACGCGAGUGCGAUAAGGGGACUCCGAGUGCGAGGGCAUAUAGUCCUCGCUUUUCACGACCGUAAGGUGGUCGUAGAAUAAGUGCUGGGCAAGACCGGUGCCAGCCGCCGCGGUAAUACCGGCAGCACGAGUGAUGACCGCUAUUAUUGGGCCUAAAGCGUCCGUAGCUGGCCAUGCAAGUCUAUCGGGAAAUCCGCGCG
rnacentral:rRNA from 1 species